AUGCCAUUGAUGGUGAGGGGAGACCUGAUGCUGACUUUGACUCGGGUUCAAGCUGAGGACCAAGGGGACUACUUCUCCUACAUCAAGGAUAAAAAAGGAAGCAGAUGGAGGGAAAGUCUUGCUGCUGUGAGGAUGAAGGUCACCAAAAGAAACUUGGAUCAGACAACCCCUCACCCACCGCUCACUCCCACACAGUGCGCUACUGAGAAGGAAGGGUGCGGGAUGGGAACCUGGAUUGCAGUCGGUUUGGCAGCUAUAAUAAUAAUAAUUAUAAUUGAAAUUAUGUUUAUAAUAAUAAUUGUUAUUAUUAUUAUAAUCAUAAUAUUAAUAAUAAUUAUUAUUAUCAUUAGGAUAAUAAUAAUAUUGGUAAUAAUAAUCUUAAUUAUAAUUAUUAUUAUUGCUGCUUUCCCGCUGCUCCAGAGUCUCAUCUGGACCCAGAGGAGGACGUCGACUAACCUCUGAACAGUGAGAAUCCUCCUCAAGACGCAAACAUGACACAUGCUGCUGUUAUUGUACAAGUUUGUUGUUAAUGCUGGUGGUUGCAGACCUGUCAAUAAAGUGGUUAUUUAAAAUGUGUUCCUCUUUUGUUCUUGUUUUUUCAAUUUGCAACAUAAAAAACACUGCA
rnacentral:lncRNA from 15 species